rnacentral:misc_RNA from 1 species
UACAUCUACGUGUUCGCCACUGCCAUGUACUUUCCCCAGUUCUUUUAUCUGAACUUCAGAGAAAUUGUUGUCAAUGGCGGAAACGGCAUUGUGUAUCAGGUUUGUGAGUGCUGGGCGACGGAUGUACCGGCAGUUUAUGAAGGGAAACUCAAAAUACUUAAACUCUCCCUGGCCAAAUUAAUUCCUUGCAUCAUAUUGGCGAUUACAACCAUCCUCCUGGUCAGAAAGCUUGACAAGGAAGCCCGACAGUCCGGCAGUCUCCACGCGGAACGACAAAGUGUGAACCGAGAGACCCGAGAGGCCAGGCUCAUUCGGAGGACAUCACUCAUGAUUGUUGUCAUAGUUGUUACUUGUUUAGUGGUAGAAGUUCCGAAUGGACUUCGCUACCUCACAAGGACCAUUAACCCGGAAGCUCUCGAUCCGGAAACAGAUUUAUUUUUAGUUGCAAUCCUAAAUGUAUGUACUCUCUUGAAUUUUCAUAUCAACUUCUGGAUUUAUAUCUGCCUAAGUCAGGAGUUCAGGAAAACCCUACGAUCUAUAGUUUGCCGGUGGAAUAAAAAGUAUCAAAAGGUACAUUUAAUGAGCCAGAGUUCCAUGCGAACUACCUCUGACAAUCUGUAAUUUGAUUGGUGUGUCGAUAUUCUCGCGGGAUUGUGACAUUUUUUAAACAAUCUCAGUGUGACCUCAUUGACUUACAUGAAUGCACCUUGAUUACCCAGCCUGUUUGGUUAUCUUGUAUUGUGACAUUUGCUCUGUGUCGUGGGCUGACCGAUUGUGAUUUAUAAGCAUGUGUUUUUGUGUCCCCAUGGAUGUAUUUCACGGAACGCAUUGUCUAAAACGUCGACUUCAUUAACAUAGACAAAUAGUUUAGAAACGUUAUUGUUUAUUUUUGUCGUUUUGUUCAUUAAAUGUUGAGACCAUUAGGUGCUU